AGUGAACGCUGGCGGUAGGCCUAACACAUGCAAGUCGAACGGCAGCACAGGAGAGCUUGCUCUCUGGGUGGCGAGUGGCGGACGGGUGAGGAAUACAUCGGAAUCUACUCUGUCGUGGGGGAUAACGUAGGGAAACUUACGCUAAUACCGCAUACGACCUACGGGUGAAAGCAGGGGACCUUCGGUCCUUGCGCGCUUGAAUGCGCCGAUGUCGGAUUAGAUAGUUGGCGGGGUAAAGGCCCACCAAGGAGACGAUCCGUAGCUGGUCUGAUAGGAUGAUCAGCCACACUGGAACUGAGACACGGUCCAGACUCCUACGGGAGGCAGCAGUGGGGAAUAUUGGACAAUGGGCGCAAGCCUGAUCCAGCCAUACCGCGUGGGUGAAGAAGGCCUUCGGGUUGUAAAGCCCUUUUGUUGGGAAAGAAAUCCAGCUGGCUAAUACCCGGUUGGGAUGACGGUACCCAAAGAAUAAGCACCGGCUAACUUCGUGCCAGCCGCCGCCGUAA
rnacentral:rRNA from 1 species